rnacentral:misc_RNA from 1 species
AAAGUCGUAACAAGGUUUCCGUAGGUGAACCUGCGGAAGGAUCAUUAUCGUAGGGGGCUAUGCCCCCGAAAGUAUAACCCUUGUCUAUAAGUACUAUUGUUUCCUCGGCAGGCUUGCCUGCCAAUGAGGACCCCAUCAACCCUUUUUAUGUUAUUGUAACCGUACCAAAACAAAUAAUCAAAACUUUCAACAACGGAUCUCUUGGUUCUG